rnacentral:rRNA from 1 species
UGCAAGUCGAACGAUGAAGCCCAGCUUGCUGGGUGGAUUAGUGGCGAACGGGUGAGUAACACGUGAGUAACCUGCCCUUGACUCUAGGAUAAGCCCGGGAAACUGGGUCUAAUACUGGAUAGGAACGUCUACCGCAUGGUGGAUGUUGGAAAGAAUUUCGGUCAUGGAUGGACUCGCGGCCUAUCAGCUUGUUGGUGAGGUAAUGGCUCACCAAGGCGACGACGGGUAGCCGGCCUGAGAGGGUGACCGGCCACACUGGGACUGAGACACGGCCCAGACUCCUACGGGAGGCAGCAGUGGGGAAUAUUGCACAAUGGGCGAAAGCCUGAUGCAGCGACGCCGCGUGAGGGAUGACGGCCUUCGGGUUGUAAACCUCUUUCAGUAGGGAAGAAGCGAAAGUGACGGUACCUGCAGAAGAAGCACCGGCUAACUACGUGCCAGCAGCCGCGGUAAUACGUAGGGUGCGAGCGUUAUCCGGAAUUAUUGGGCGUAAAGAGCUCGUAGGCGGUUUGUCGCGUCUGUCGUGAAAGUCCGGGGCUUAACCCCGGAUCUGCGGUGGGUACGGGCAGACUAGAGUGCAGUAGGGGAGACUGGAAUUCCUGGUGUAGCGGUGGAAUGCGCAGAUAUCAGGAGGAACACCGAUGGCGAAGGCAGGUCUCUGGGCUGUAACUGACGCUGAGGAGCGAAAGCAUGGGGAGCGAACAGGAUUAGAUACCCUG